UCUUAGGUGCAGGGAGAAACCAUGAUAAAAGAGCAGACAAUGUUGCUGCCCUCAAGGAGCUGACAUUCUAGUGGAGGAAGACAGAUGCAAAGAGGAAUGUAUGCCCACAUCACACAACUAAAUUGUGGCAUGAUGGAGUUCAACAAAAUAUGGAUACAGAGAGCAAGGUUUGAGGGUAAAUUUAACCAAGGUAGGGUAAUCAGAGGAGCCUGAUCUGAAAAGGUAGGAAUUAAAAUAAGCUCUAAAGGAUUAUUAGAAACCAAGGAGAAACGAGCUGACUGGUAGAAAUGGAGAGUGUUUCAGGGAGAGCAAAAAGCCCGUUCAAAAACCUCAUUCAAAGAGUUGGGCAAUUUGAAGAAUUGAAAUGAAACUCUAGGACUGGGCACGGAGAAUGUGAAGAAGUGAGGUGGGGGAUGGAGCUGGAGAGAUAGGUGGGACUGGAUCCCAUACAGCUUGGUGAAUGGGACCUGGACUGGAAAAGGAUUGUUUGUGUGGGAAUCACUCAUGGCAAAAGCAGUGACACCUCUUUCAAAAACCUGUGUCAUUCUGGCAGAGUGUGGCAGGAGAUGGCCACUGGAGAGGCUGAGUCAAAUCAAUCUCCUCACCUGAGGACUUCCUGAGACCAGCGCACCGAAGGACCAGCAACAACAACAACAAUAAUGCUAAUGCUCCCUUAUGGACAGGACUGCAAUUCUCUGCCUGCUGAAGCUCAGCUAUGACCACGUGACUUGCCUUGGCCAAUGAAAGAGGAAGAGCAUGUAACACUGCUGAACGGAAGCAAGCGGCCCCUGCCUCUGCUGCAGAGAUUCUAUACGUGUGUGCCAUGCUGGAGCAAGGAGGCAGGGAGUCCUGGAGAAAGGAGACAUGGAACAGAGCUCCCAGCCCAGUCAAUAUGUAACAUGAGUGAGAAAUAAAUAACACUUUGUUGCUAGAAGCUUUUUUUUCAACUGAAGUAUAACUCAGCUUCCCCUGACCCAUGCAGAAAGUCAUCUAUCAAUGUUAAGUAUCACUAAAUUUAUUUUACAGAAGAAGAAUCUAAAGCUCAGAGUAAUGGUCUCAAUAUCACUCAGCAAUUAUGUGAUGGAAGCAUACUGAAGGCCCACAUUUUAAAGUGGACGCCAAGGAGAAUAUAGCAUAAAUAGAAAUUUUCUAACUGCAGGGAAUUCUUGCUAUACAACUGCAAAGAAUAGGCCCCACUACUUCCUAGCUGUGCCUCAACUUCCUGAUCAGUUAAAUGGGACUAAUAAAAGAGCAGCUAGUGGCUGGGCGCGGUGGCUCACGCCUAUAAUCCCAGCACUUUGGGAGGCCGAGGCGGGCGGAUCACGAGGUCAGGAGAUCGAGACCACAGUGAAACCCCGUCUCUACUAAAAAUACAGAAAAUAAGCUGUGCGCAGUGGCGGGCGCCUGUAGUCCCAGCUACUCUGGAGGCUGGGGCAGGAGAAUGUCGUGAACCCGGAAGGCGGAGUUUGUAGUCAGCCGAGAUCACGCCACUGCACUCCAGUCUGGGCGACAGAGGGAGACUCUGUCUCAAAAAAAACAAAAAAACAAAACAAAAAAUGAGCAGCUAGUGCAAGAGAUGGAGAAGGGAUUAAAUGAGAAUACAUGUAAAUUGCUCAUAAGAUUAUUCAGAAUAAACCAAAUAUUCAAAAAUGUUAGUUACUAUUAUUAUUAAGUAACAAUUGCUAUUAUAAUCCUAAUAUCUCCUGUUUCUCAUAAGUCGGUGGAUACAAGCAAUUACAUUUACAUAAAUAUGUAAAGUAAUAAAGCCAAACCAGAGACUCCUAA